rnacentral:rRNA from 1 species
UACGGAGGGUGCAAGCGUUGUCCGGAAUCACUGGGCGUAAAGGGCGCGUAGGCGGUAGCACAAGUCAGUUGUGAAAUCUCCGGGCUUAACUCGGAAAGGUCAACUGAUACUGUGCGACUAGAGUGCAGAAGGGGCAACUGGAAUUCUCGGUGUAGCGGUGAAAUGCGUAGAUAUCGAGAGGAACACCUGCGGCGAAGGCGGGUUGCUGGGCUGACACUGACGCUGAGGCGCGAAAGCCAGGGGAGCGAACGGG